rnacentral:rRNA from 1 species
AAUGGAGGAAACUCUGAUGCAGCGACGCCGCGUGAGGGAAGAAGGUCUUCGGAUUGUAAACCUCUGUCUUUGGGGACGAUAAUGACGGUACCCAAGGAGGAAGCCACGGCUAACUACGUGCCAGCAGCCGCGGUAAAACGUAGGUGGCAAGCGUUGUCCGGAAUUACUGGGUGUAAAGGGAGCGCAGGCGGAAAGGUAAGUUGGGAGUGAAAACUAUGGGCUCAACCCAUAAAUUGCUUUCAAAACUAUUUUUCUUGAGUGGUGUAGAGGUAGGCGGAAUUCCCGGUGUAGCGGUGGAAUGCGUAGAUAUCGGGAGGAACACCAGUGGCGAAGGCGGCCUACUGGGCACUAACUGACGCUGAGGCUCGAAAGCAUGGGUAGCAAA